GGGGGGGGGAGAACCAGCGCCACCAACAACACCUGCUCCAUCUCCUUUGCCUCCUACCUCUGGGAGCAAUCUGCCCACCUGCUCCCAUGGUAAAGCUGACACACCCUGCCCACGGUUCCUCCCUCCGUAGCCUGCAGCUAAAGCGCUGCUAGUCUGCACAGGAGCCGCAGACGCAGACAGAGCUCCAGCAUGCCUGGCCGCCAUACCGCAGGAGGGAGGGAUCAACGUAGCUGGCGCAGCCUAAACAUCCGUCCCGCAGGCAGCAGAGACAUUAUCUCGGUGGCGUGAAAAGGCGAGAGGUGAAGCGGCCGAGCCGGACGUUUUUUAUGGUCGGAGCAUGGUGUACAAAAAGGGGUUUCAGGCGAGGAGCUCCGGCUACUCGCUCAAGGAUACCCCCGUGCUUAUUGUUGUGAUCGUCGUUCUGAUGAUUAUAUUGUGUAUUUAUCUGGAGAUGAUGACGACGUUCCCUUGGUGACUUGUUACCGGAAGGCUCUGUGCAAGUGGCUGGUAUGAUAUAACCAAUAAAAAGGUGGAUUUUCCCAGUG